rnacentral:rRNA from 1 species
UUUGUAUAAUGGGUCAGCGACUUAUAUUCAGUGGCAAGGUUAACCAUCUAGGGGAGCCGUAGGGAAACCGAGUCUUAACUGGGCGUUCAGUCUCUGGAUAUAGACCCGAAACCAGGUGAUCUAGCCAUGGGCAGGUUGAAGGUUGAGUAACAUCAACUGGAGGACCGAACCGACUAAUGUUGAAAAAUUAGCGGAUGACUUGUGGCUAGGGGUGAAAGGCCAAUCAAACCUGGAGAUAGCUGGUUCUCCCCGAAAGCUAUUUAGGUAGCGCCUCGGACGAAUACUACUGGGGGUAGAGCACUGUUAAGGCUAGGGGGUCAUCCCGACUUACCAACCCUUUGCAAACUCCGAAUACCAGUAAGUACUAUCCGGGAGACACACGGCGGGUGCUAACGUCCGUCGUGGAGAGGGAAACAACCCAGACCGCCAGCUAAGGUCCCAAAUUACUACUAAGUGGGAAACGAUGUGGGAAGGCUCAGACAGCCAGGAUGUUGGCUUAGAAGCAGCCAUCAUUUAAAGAAAGCGUAAUAGCUCACUGGUCGAGUCGGCCUGCGCGGAAGAUGUAACGGGGCUAAGUAGUAAACCGAAGCUGCGGCAAUAUACUUUUGUAUAUUGGGUAGGGGAGCGUUCUGUAAG